CCCCCAUAAGCUGAUUUCAAGUCAACCACAUAGCCACUCUGCCAUUUUCUUUAU
rnacentral:tRNA from 1 species